ensembl:lncRNA
CUUUUUAAGCUUUCUGGCAGAGGCAGUCAGGUGUUCAUUUAAUAUCUGUUGAUAUUUGAUAGAGUCCAUGAUGCCAUGUAUCCUAAUGAAAUGUCCAGGUCUUCUGGCAGAAAAACAGCCCCCAAAUGAGCCACAAACAUAUUUAACCAUGGGCAUGAGGUACUUUUCCAUAUGGCUACCUCUGUGUGCACCAAACCACCUCUGAUGUUUAUUGUCAAAAAGCUCUACUUUGGUUUCAUCGGACCAUAGAGCCCGAUCUAGUUCCUGUCCCUAGUCAACCAGGUGUACAAAAAAAUAUAAAAUAUCAAUGGAAAUAUACUUUAAAUAUAUUUUCUGAUAUGAAUUCAUAGGGAUGACAAUAAUUCUGCCACACAUAUAUUUGACAAUGUUUUUUUUUUUUUUUUUUUUUAAUAAGCCUAUGCUGUGUUUGUAAUUGUUUGAUAUCCAUGAGAGAAUUUUUUGAACAACAGAUCAAAGGUUAAUUUUUCACAGCCUUAAUAUUUGCCAAGGUUGCCAAUAUCAGUGGAGAGAACUGUAUGUAAUAUUGGAUCAUUUUUCUCAAUAAAUAAAUGACAAAGUGUAACAGUUUUUGUCUCAUUUGUUUAAUUGAGUUCUCUUUAUCUACUUUUAGAACUUGUGUGAAUGCAGAAAUAGAAAAUUCUAAAGGCUUCACAAACUUUCAAGCACCACUGUACCAUCUAUGUGCUUCAGCAGAAAUCGAGAUCCAUCAGUAGAUGAUGCUUAUUGAAAAGCAGAAAUACCCAAGGUGAUGCUGCACAAUUUUCUGUUUCUGACAUGAUAAUACAACAACUCAGUUAUGGGGCACUUAGCUAUUUCAAUAAGAGGUCAAGAAAACUUACAUGCAUGUAUAUGCCAGAUGCAAAAUAAACACAAUGGAUUAUCAAUCAGCAGAUUAUACUUUGCACAUUGUAAAAAAAAAAUUGUUCACUCAACUUAACUUAUUGAGUUGUCUUUUUGCUUUGACUCAGUUACUGUACAUUGUAUUUAUGUAAAAUACAAAAAAAAAAAGUCAUUUCAACAAAAAGUUUUGUUGACACAAUUAAAUAAUUGACCUAUUGAACUACUAAUUGAACUACUCAUUUCAAGUAAUGCAGGCUUCCCAAGUUCAAUUGAAAUACUGUUAUAAAAAGUAAGGUGAACUUAACUUUUUCAAGUUGUCUGUACUAAAAUUCGAGUUAAUGUAACUUGCUAAUCUUCUCUGUAUCGUUCCAAUCUCAAUAUAUGUGCUGCCGUAGCACUUAAUCUGGCUUAUUUUCCUAACUUACAUUAGCAAGUUCAACCAAAUAAAUAACCCAUUUUUCCAUAUGAAAGACUUUAUCAAUUGUUUCCCUUAUAAAUUUACAAAUGUAAACAGAACAAGUCAAACAGGUUCAAAUAUCCAGAGCUACAAUAGCCAGUGUUUCUUUUAACUCUUUAAGCAAAAGGUUUAAAAUUUAAUAUUGUGGUAAAAUCAAUUUGAGUAAACAAAAAUCUAUUACAAUUAUAAAAAAUAAAUUAAAUUACAUUUUUACAUUUUCUCUUACAAGAAAUUCAUAACACCCAUCUCUACUUCAGCAGUUUAUUUUUAAGUGAAUGUACUCGUACACUGCAGGCAUUAGCUCCAAUGUUCAUGAACAGCCUCUGAAUGACCUCAAAGGUGUAUAAAGUUUUUGGGGUAGUUUAUGUUAAGUGCUUAAAGCAAUCCCAUCAAGUUGACAAUGCAUUUGGUACAUCACCAAGAUUGCAUACAACUUCUUCGAUUACAAGAGCUACACCAUUGCAGUCACACGGAAUAGGGUCCAUGACAUCAUCCACAACUGUAAUGAUUCCAACAGUCAUGCCCUUGAUUAAAUCUUCUUCACAAUCUGUGUGCUGUAUUAUAAACAAAGACAAACUUUAAAAUGUGCUUUCACACAUACAACCUCACAAGCUCAACGACUUAAGAACAGCAUGAGUGAACCGAUCUUAACUUUACUAGUUAUCGCACAAAAUGAAUUAAUAUUGAGUGAGUUAUCCGUUCAAUCGAAGCCAACUUUCGGUCACUUUAUUGAUCAUGAUUCUCCAUGCUUUCCUAUCUUGGAAUUAAUAUUAGAAGGUGGUAAAUAAUACAGUACAACUUCCUGAAAUUUUUAAUCUCUCAUGAAAAUAAAACAAGGUAAACUCCAUCAAAAUAGUUGGAAAUAUCAAUACAUGGACUUCCAUUAUCUGAAUAUCUUCCAAAAUCCCUUCUUACUUUUUUCACAGACACUUACCCCACAGAUCUUUAAGAAACUGAGAUGGAUUCCCCAUGCAU